UACGAAGGGGGCUAGCGUUGCUCGGAAUCACUGGGCGUAAAGCGCACGUAGGCGGCUUCUUAAGUCAGGGGUGAAAUCCUGGAGCUCAACUCCAGAACUGCCUUUGAUACUGGGAAGCUUGAGUCUGGGAGAGGUGAGUGGAACUGCGAGUGUAGAGGUGAAAUUCGUAGAUAUUCGCAAGAACACCAGUGGCGAAGGCGGCUCACUGGCCCGGUACUGACGCUGAGGUGCGAAAGCGUGGGGAGCAAACAGG
rnacentral:rRNA from 1 species